rnacentral:rRNA from 1 species
UACGUAGGGGGCAAGCGUUGUCCGGAUUUAUUGGGCGUAAAAGGCUUGUAGGUGGCCACGCCAAGUCGGAUGUGAAAUCUCCCGGCUCAACUGGGAGGGGUCAUUCGAUACUGGCGGGCUCGAGGCCGGUAGGGGGAAGUGGAAUUCCCGGUGUAGUGGUGGAAUGCGUAGAGAUCAUGAGGAAGACCAGUGGCGAAGGCGGGUCUCUGGACAGUUCCUGACACUGAGACACGAAGGCCAGGGGAGCAAACGGG